rnacentral:rRNA from 1 species
GCCCUUCUGAACGCCUCUAAGUCAGAAUCCGUGCUAGAAACGAUGAUGUUGGUGUCGCACAUUAGACUUGUGUUUAAAUAGAGCUUUGCUCGUGAACCAAAUAUGGUGGGCUGGGUUGUCUUUGCGGAAACGCUUGGGCGACUUGUCUACGAAUUGUAAUCAUAAUAUGGGCGGCGGUGAAUCCUUUGCAGACGACUUGAAUGGGAACGGGGUACUGUAAGUGGUAGAGUAGCCUUGUUGCUACGAUCCACUGAGGUUAAGCCCUUGUUCUAAAG